CGCCAUUGAAUUAUCAUAUAAGAACGGAACAUCAAGCCAUCUAAUUAUUAAAGAUCAAUGGAGCUUGUCAGCCUGCUUCAAAUCAAUGAUUUUCACCAUUGUCAAAUAUAAGUUGUCGCAGGAAUUGAAAAUCAUGGAAGAACUAUAUUAUUUGGUUGUGCCCUCCUUCGAAAUGAGACCGUGGCAACAUUUCAUUGGUUAACGAAGAUUUUUGUUACUCUUAUGAAAAGGACGCCGAAGAAGAUCAUCAUCGUUCAAGAUCCAUGGAUGACGCAAGCAAAAACAAUUGAGAUGUCCCUCACAAAACAUGCCUAUUGCAUAUGGCACAUUACUGAAAAUUUUAGGUGUUGGUUUACGUCAAUUCUUCGAGACGAAUAUUCUUCUUGGUGUGAAUAUUUUUAUAAGCUUUACAGGCUUGACAAUGUCCAUAAUUUUGAACAAUAAUGGUUUAAUGUUGUUUCCAAGUUUAAUUUACUGGAAAAUAAAUACGUAAAAGGCUUAUAUGAAGUUAAAGAAUAUUGGGUACCGGCAUAUCUUCGUGGCAAUUAUUUUGGUGGUAUGACUACA